rnacentral:rRNA from 1 species
AUUGAACGCUGGCGGCAGGCCUAACACAUGCAAGUCGAGCGAGCGGCGGACGGGUGAGUAAUGUAUGGGGAUCUGCCCGAUAGCGGGGGAUAACUACUGGAAACGGUGGCUAAUACAGCAUACUAGUGGAUGAACCAAUAUGGGAUUAGAUAGUAGGUGGGGUAAAGGCUCACCAAGGCGACGAUCUCUAGCUGGUCUGAGAGGAUGAUCAGCCACACUGGGACUGAGACACGGCCCAGACUCCUACGGGAGGCAGCAGUGGGGAAUAUUGCACAAUGGGCGCAAGCCUGAUGCAGCCAUGCCGCGUGUAUGAAGAAGGCCUUAGGUUUGUAAAGUACUUUCAGCGGGGAGGCGUUACCCGCAGAAUAAGCACCGGCUAACUCCGUGCCAGCCGCCGCGGUAAUAC